rnacentral:rRNA from 1 species
AAACUUUCAACAACGGAUCUCUUGGUUCUGGCAUCGAUGAAGAACGCAGCGAAAUGCGAUAAGUAAUGUGAAUUGCAGAAUUCAGUGAAUCAUCGAAUCUUUGAACGCACAUUGCGCCCGCCAGUAUUCUGGCGGCUUUCCUGUCCGAGCGUCAUUUC